rnacentral:rRNA from 1 species
UAGCAAUAUUACUUAGGCUAGACCGGCGCACGGGUGCGUAACACGUAUGCAAUCUGCCUUACACUGGAGGAUAACCCCGAGAAAUCGGGGCUAAUAUUCCAUAACACAGCGAAGUGGCAUCACUUUGCUGUUAAAGCUCCGGCGGUGUAAGAUGAGCAUGCGUCCAAUUAGCUAGUUGGUGAGGUAACGGCUCACCAAGGCUACGAUUGGUAGGGGUUCUGAGAGGAUGAUCCCCCACACGGUACUGAGACACGGACCAGACUCCUACGGGAGGCAGCAGUGAGGAAUAUUGCGCAAUGGACGAAAGUCUGACGCAGCCAUGCCGCGUGCAGGAUUGAAGGCCCUAUGGGUUGUAAACUGCUUUUAUACGGGAAUAAACCUUUCCUCGUGAGGGAAGCUGAAGGUACCGUAAGAAUAAGCACCGGCUAACUCCGUGCCAGCAGCCGCGGUAAUACGGAGGGUGCAAGCGUUAUCCGGAUUUAUUGGGUUUAAAGGGUCCGUAGGCGGACCAUUA